GAUGAACGCUAGCGGCAGGCCUAACACAUGCAAGUCGAGGGGGAAGUUACUUUCGGGUAACAGAGACCGGCGUACGGGUGCGUAACGCGUAUACAAUCUGCCUUUCACUGGGGGAUAGCCCGAAGAAAUUUGGAUUAAUACCCCAUAGUAUAGUAAUACGGCAUCGUGAUACUAUUAAAGCUUAGGUGGUGAAAGAUGAGUAUGCGUUCUAUUAGUUAGUUGGAGAGGUAACGGCUCCCCAAGGCGAUGAUAGAUAGGGGUUCUGAGAGGGAUGUCCCCCACACUGGUACUGAGAUACGGACCAGACUCCUACGGGAGGCAGCAGUGAGGAAUAUUGGACAAUGAUCGGAAGACUGAUCCAGCCAUGCCGCGUGCAGGAUGAAGGUCUUAUGGAUUGUAAACUGCUUUUGUAAGGGAAGAAUAAGGGCUACGUGUAGUUUGAUGACGGUACCUUACGAAUAAGCAUCGGCUAACUCCGUGCCAGCAGCCGCGGUAAUACGGAGGAUGCGAGCGUUAUCCGGAAUCAUUGGGUUUAAAGGGUCUGUAGGCGGGCUGGUAAGUCAGAGGUGAAAGCGCUCAGCUCAACUGAGCAACUGCCUUUGAAACUGUUGGUCUUGAAUGGUUGUGAAGUAGUUGGAAUGUGUAGUGUAGCGGUGAAAUGCUUAGAUAUUACACAGAACACCGAUAGCGAAGGCAUAUUACUAACAAUUGAUUGACGCUGAUGGACGAAAGCGUGGGGAGCGAACAGG
rnacentral:rRNA from 1 species